UACGGGGGGGGCAAGCGUUGUUCGGAAUUACUGGGCGUAAAGGGCUCGUAGGUGGCCAACUAAGUCGGACGUGAAAUCCUUCGGCUUAACCGGGGAACUGCGUCCGAUACUGGUUGGCUUGAGUUUGGGAGAGGGAUGCGGAAUUCCAGGUGUAGCGGUGAAAUGCGUAGAUAUCUGGAGGAACACCGGUGGCGAAGGCGGCAUCCUGGACCAAUACUGACGCUGAGGAGCGAAAGCCAGGGGAGCAAACGGG
rnacentral:rRNA from 1 species